UGAGAUUUCCCAACUUCGGUUAUAAGAUCCCUCGAAGAUGACGAGGUUAAUAGGUUCGAGGUGGAAGCGUGGUGACACGUGGAGCUGACGAAUACUAAUCGAUCGAAGACUUAAUCAA
rnacentral:rRNA from 1 species